UACGUAGGGGGCAAGCGUUGUCCGGAAUCAUUGGGCGUAAAGCGCGUGUAGGCGGCCUUGUAAGUCUGUUCUGAAAGCCCGGGGCUCAACCCCGGGAGGCGGAUGGAUACUGCAAGGCUCGAGUACGGAAGAGGCGAGUGGAAUUCCCGGUGUAGCGGUGAAAUGCGCAGAUAUCGGGAGGAACACCAAUGGCGAAGGCAGCUCGCUGGGACGUUACUGACGCUGAGACGCGAAAGCGUGGGAGCAA
rnacentral:rRNA from 1 species